CUGCGAUAAGCGCCGGUAAGGUGAUAUGAACCGUUAUAACCGGCGAUACCCGAAUGGGGAAACCCAGUGUGACUCGUCACACUAUCAUUAACUGAAUCCAUAGGUUAAUGAGGCGAACCGGGGGAACUGAAACAUCUAAGUACCCCGAGGAAAAGAAAUCAACCGAGAUUCCCCCAGUAGCGGCGAGCGAACGGGGAGGAGCCCAGAGCCUGAAUCAGCAUGUGUGUUAGUGGAAGCGUCUGGAAAGGCGCGCGAUACAGGGUGACAGCCCCGUACACAAAAGCGCAUGUGCUGUGAGCUCGAUGAGUAGGGCGGGACACGUGGUAUCCUGUCUGAAUAUGGGGGGACCAUCCUCCAAGGCUAAAUACUCCUGACUGACCGAUAGUGAACCAGUACCGUGAGGGAAAGGCGAAAAGAACCCCGGCGAGGGGAGUGAAAAAGAACCUGAAACCGUGUACGUACAAGCAGUGGGAGCCCCACCACCAAAGCAUUCUCUGGUGUUGAAGGCCCUGCAAAGCAGCAUCGCGGUGGCGGAGCGUCGUUUGCGACGCCCAACACACAAAACAAGCGGUGAGUGCUUUGGGGUGGGGUGACUGCGUACCUUUUGUAUAAUGGGUCAGCGACUUAUAUUCUGUAGCAAGGUUAACCGAAUAGGGGAGCCGCAGGGAAACCGAGUCUUAAUUGGGCGUUAAGUUGCAGGGUAUAGACCCGAAACCCGGUGAUCUAGCCAUGGGCAGGUUGAAGGUUGGGUAACACUAACUGGAGGACCGAACCGACUAAUGUUGAAAAAUUAGCGGAUGACCUGUGGCUGGGGGUGAAAGGCCAAUCAAACCGGGAGAUAGCUGGUUCUCCCCGAAAGCU
rnacentral:rRNA from 1 species